UACGAAGGGGGCUAGCGUUGUUCGGAAUUACUGGGCGUAGAGCGCACGUAGGCGGAUACUUAAGUUAGGGGUGAAAUCCCGGGGCUCAACCCCGGAACUGCCUUUAAUACUGGGUAUCUUGAGUUCGAGAGAGGUGAGUGGAAUUCCGAGUGUAGAGGUGAAAUUCGUAGAUAUUCGGAGGAACACCAGUGGCGAAGGCGGCUCACUGGCUCGAUACUGACGCUGAGGUGCGAAAGCGUGGGGAGCAAACAGG
rnacentral:rRNA from 1 species